UCGUCUUUUGUAAAUAUACCUAAAAGAUAAUGCCUGCCCAGUGAAACUAUUUAAACGGCCGCGUUAGCGUGAGCGUGCUAAGGUAGCGUAAUAAUUAGCCUCUUAAUUGGAGGCCAGUGAAAGGCAACACGAGGAAUCCCUAUACUUUAUGUGUUAAAAAAACUUUUCUUCUAAGUGAAAAGCCUUAGAUAUUAAAAGAAGACGAAAAGACCCCGCGGAACUUUACCUUUUCUCUAAAUUUACUAAGCUACAACAGAUGUAAAUUCAUUAAGGUUUGAUUGGGGCAAUCUCGGAACCACCUAAACUUCCGACCUACAUUUUUAACUUAUCUAAAAUUUGCUUUGGACCAAAAAGAAGUUACCCCGGGGAUAACAGCGUUAUCCAACUUAAGAGUACACAUCGAAAGUUGGGUUUGCGACCUCGAUGUUGGCUUAAGGACAUCCACAUAAGUGCAGCCGCUAUGAAUGGAAAGUCUGUUCGACUAUUAUAACCUUA
rnacentral:rRNA from 1 species